CUAAGAAUAUUUAUUUUAGCUAAAAUUUAUAUGCAAAUUAAUGUGAUGAUAAUUCUUGAAGAAUUAUUGUGGUGAAUGCAGUAAAUAAUAUUAUUGAUAUUAAGGUAACUUAGAUUUAGUUAAUGCUUGAAGGGUUGGUUAAGGCUGUGCCAGCAUCCGCGGUUAUACAGCGAAUUCAAAUGAAUAUUAUUGGUUUUGAAGUACUUAUUGAUAAUAUAUCAUGGAAAUUUAGAAUUACAUAGUGAAAUAUAUAAUUUUAGUUGAUAUGAAGUUUAGUCAGAAUAGUAUGAAAUUGAAGAGAGAAACUAGGAUUAGAUACCCUAUUAUUUUUAAUGUAAAAAAGGAGCCAGAGUAAUAGUAGUUAUGGUCUUUAAACUUAAAGAAUUUGGCGGUAUUAUAGUCUAUUUAGAGGAAUCUGUUUCUUAAUCGAUAGUCCACGUUGUACCUUACUUAUAUAAAUUCUUGUAUAUCGCUGUUUAAUGGGUCUACUUUAAGGUUAUUCCCUAGAUAGAAAAGUAAUUAGGAUUUCAAGUCAAGGUGCAGUAUAUAUAAGAUGAUAAUGGAUUACAAUAAAAUUUAUUUAUACGGAUUUAAAAUUGAAAGAUUAUUUGAAGGUGGAUUUAAAAGUAAUUUUUUGAAGAUUGUAAAGAUGAUUAUAGCUCUAUAAUAUGCACACAUCGCCCGUCACUCUCAUUUAUUAAGAUGAGAUAAGUCGUAACAAAGUAGGCGUAUCGGAAGAUGUGCCUAGGAAGAAAGAUGGAGGGAAAGAAAAAGAAUAUA
rnacentral:rRNA from 1 species